UCGUUUAAAGCCAUUACGUCAACAUCCUUAACGAAAUCAACCCGUUCUGACCUUUUGGCAUCAACUUCGAUAACCAUAAGCACGCUUUCGGCACCAAAGCAACCACCAGAGACCAGACAGUGGCCCCGAAGGGUUCGUUGCAAUCCUCAAUCUUAGUCUUCACAUCUACCAGAGGCUUAACACUUUAAUACGAGAUCAAAGCUACAUUCCUCCCGUCAUUUUAUGACGACCAAAAUGACGCUGACCUACCAUGCGAGUAAAUACACCAAAAAUAGAGCACAAAUAUGCAGGCGUGAGGCGGUGAAGCUCCUCACCACCCAACACAAUCGCACCCAAAUGGCUGAUUACUCACCGUACGA
rnacentral:rRNA from 1 species